UAGGGAAUCUUCGGCAAUGGGGGCAACCCUGACCGAGCAACGCCGCGUGAGUGAAGAAGGGUUUCGGCUCGUAAAGCUCUGUUGUUAAAGAAGAACACGUAUGAGAGUAACUGUUCAUACGUUGACGGUAUUUAACCAGAAAGUCACGGCUAACUACGUGCCAA
rnacentral:rRNA from 1 species